CAAAGUGUAGCUUAAACAAAGCACCUAGUUUACACCUAGAAGAUAUCAUGCAUAAGGAUUACUUUGA
rnacentral:tRNA from 1 species